CUCGGAGUUUGAUCCUGGCUCAGAUUGAACGCUGGCGGAAUGCUUUACACAUGCAAGUCGAACGGCAGCACGAGAGCUUGCUCUUGGUGGCGAGUGGCGAACGGGUGAGUAAUAUAUCGGAACGUAUCCAAUAAUGGGGGAUAACUAAUCGAAAGGUUAGCUAAUACCGCAUACGCCCUACGGGGGAAAGCAGGGGUAUCUUCGGACCUUGCGUUAAUGGAGCGGCUGAUAUCUGAUUAGCUAGUAGGUGAGGUAAA
rnacentral:rRNA from 1 species